rnacentral:rRNA from 1 species
GACGAACGCUGGCGGCGUGCCUAAUACAUGCAAGUUGAGCGCUGAAGGUUGGUACUUGUACCGACUGGAUGAGCAGCGAACGGGUGAGUAACGCGUGGGGAAUCUGCCUUUGAGCGGGGGACAACAUUUGGAAACGAAUGCUAAUACCGCAUAAAAACUUUAAACACAAGUUUUAAGUUUGAAAGAUACAAUUGCAUCACUCAAAGAGGAUCCCGCGUUGUAUUAGCUAGUUGGUGAGGUAAAGGCUCACCAAGGCGAUGAUACAUAGCCGACCUGAGAGGGUGAUCGGCCACAUUGGGACUGAGACACGGCCCAAACUCCUACGGGAGGCAGCAGUAGGGAAUCUUCGGCAAUGGACGAAAGUCUGACCGAGCAACGCCGCGUGAGUGAAGAAGGUUUUCGGAUCGUAAAACUCUGUUGGUAGAGAAGAACGUUGGUGAGAGUGGAAAGCUCAUCAAGUGACGGUAACUACCCAGAAAGGGACGGCUAACUACGUG